rnacentral:rRNA from 1 species
CAGUCGCCACGGUAAUACAGAGGGUGCAAGCGUUAAUCGGAAUUACUGGGCGUAAAGCGCGCGUAGGUGGUUUGUUAAGUUGGAUGUGAAAGCCCCGGGCUCAACCUGGGAACUGCAUCCAAAACUGGCAAGCUAGAGUACGGUAGAGGGUGGUGGAAUUUCCUGUGUAGCGGUGAAAUGCGUAGAUAUAGUAAGGAACACCAGUGGCGAAGGCGACCACCUGGACUGAUACUGACACUGAGGUACGAAAGCAUGGGGAGCAAACAGGAUUAGAUACCCCUGUAGUCCCUGUCUCUUAUAC